UAGUGGCCUAGUUGUUAGAGCGUCUGUCUCAGAUGCGGACGGUCGUGGGUUCGAACCCCGGCCGACUCAU